rnacentral:rRNA from 1 species
GACGAACGCUGGCGGCGUGCUUAACACAUGCAAGUCGAACGAUGAAGCCCAGCUUGCUGGGUGGAUUAGUGGCGAACGGGUGAGUAACACGUGGGCAACCUGCCCCAAACUCUGGGAUAACUCCUCGAAAGAGGUGCUAAUACCGGAUACGAACUAGGUAGACAUCUGCACUAGUUGGAAAGUUCUUCGGUUUGGGAUGGGCCCGCGGCCUAUCAGCUUGUUGGUGAGGUAACGGCUCACCAAGGCUUCGACGGGUAACCGGCCUGAGAGGGCGACCGGUCACACUGGGACUGAGACACGGCCCAGACUCCUACGGGAGGCAGCAGUGGGGAAUAUUGCGCAAUGGGCGAAAGCCUGACGCAGCGACGCCGCGUGAGGGAUGAAGGUCUUCGGAUCGUAAACCUCUUUCAAUAGGGACGAAGCGAAAGUGACGGUACCUAAAGAAGAAGCACCGGCUAACUACGUGCCAGCCGCCGCGGUAA